GCAGUAUGCUUUGAGCAUAGCAAUAUUCAACAUCUAGCAAAAUGUUUGAGAAGGGCUAUAAGAACUUGGUCAUACCUCAGCCGCGGAAGUGGGCCUGCUGUGUUGUUACCUGGGGUCUGAGGUCUUUAGUUCGCAGCCCGGAAUUUACGGUGGUGAUUCUCCUCUGUUUUGUCCUAUUUUAAGAGUUGACGGAAUGGAAAGUAAGCGGAACCCGUGAGACAAUGCGUAGGUAAUUACGAAAUGGCCAAAAGUGUAACAGUAUUUUCAUUUUGCUCACUGAGUUUUUGCCAAGCAAUCUAAUUAAUUUAAUGAUCCCUGUCCCUGGCUGCUCGCUAAUCACCAUCACACACUACUUCCUUCAUAUUUGGCUUGCAAACGGUUACUAAUUGUUGCUGCAUAUUGCGUUGUACAGCUGGUGAUGGCAGCUGCCAUGGCCCUGAGAUGGAGAGACAGCUGUUUUUAAAAGGAGACUUCCCUCCCAGACCUCUAAAACAUCUGGAAAAGUGUGGCAUUGAAACUGAGUUGCUGAAUGUGAAAACUUACCAGAUAUGUGCACGGGCUAAAGGGAAGGGGUCUGCAAACACAAAGCUUAAAAGUAGGCACUGCAAUCGGGAUGGAAGAGACUCACUACUGUGCCUUUAAAGCAUGAGUCCUGGAUGUUUGCCAUAAAAAAAUGCCUAUUUCCCCUAAUUCCCUGUUGACCGCUUGGCAUGGCAAAAUCUUUAACGCUCUGCACAACAGAGCACACCUCCUAAUUUGAUCAAACUAACAACUCGUAUUACUUUUGCUUCAGCGUGUCAGACAUAAUUAAAAAACCUUUCUACGAGAAAGGGUUCAGGAUCAGGCAGCAAGAUCUAGCUGGCUGCAGACAAGAAAUCAGUAGCAUGAAAGCACCAAAAAGCCUUAGAAAUCCAUGGAAACAAUUGCAAUCCUUAAAAAAAUAUGUAUAUAUAAUAAUAAUAAAAAAAAAUCAGAAUCUCAUUUCCUCCUGAACAUUUUGUGACUGUGAUUGUUACAAGCAACCUAUUUUUUUCCCCUCCGUGUUUGUUUAGUGUAUUUAACAGCACAAGCGUACAGGCCAUUGUUUUGCUAGUGGUCAGCAAUGCUUAUCUCCUGAUCUCGCCCAACGCUAUCGCUGGCAGGCUGCUCUGCAGUCCUUGGAUUAGCACUCAUCUUGGACUCUGUGAGAGGCUGCAAACCAGCAGCAGCAGCAAAGCAGGACUCAACAGGCAGCACUGAGCAGGCACAUGAGGACACAGAAAGGAAAUGGCUGAGCUCAGACAAGGUUAGCGCGAUUGGAGCGGCAGUCACUCCAAAUGAGCCCUGAGAAAGAAGCCUACAAGCAGAAAAAAAAAAAAGCUGAUAUUCCAGCUCCAGUCACAACAGGUUCUUCAAACAGAUUUACCCUUUUCCUGCCAUGACUGGCUUUCACAUCCACUUCUUCUGCCUUGUUGCUUCAGCUCCAGCAUGGUGAUAACCACACUGCUGAGAGAAACACCGCUUCGCUCCCAGCUCAGUGCCCUAUCCCAUAGUGAUGACUGCAACGACUUGCAGGUGGAGCAUGCUUGGCCACCACCUGGAGAAAGCCCAGCAGCUGCACGGAGAUGGAGCACAUCCAGUCAGCAUGGACUUUCAAGGGAUGACUUGGAGAUGGCUUUUUGUCUGGUAAACACCAAGACCCAUAAAAAUGUCAAGAGACAUAAACGCUAGAUUUCCAGUUUUUGUGGUAUGAGGCAGAUGAAGUGUCUCAGACACCAAAUAAAUAAAUAAAUACAUAAAAAU